rnacentral:lncRNA from 1 species
AUUAAGACCUAAGACAAUUGCAUAAACUUAUGGGUCAAUGGGUUAGAUGGAUUAGGUCCAUAAUUGGAUUAGACCUAAGGUUAGCUUAAAGAAAUGGACUAAAUUAGAGUAAUUGGUCAAAUCUAAUCAAAAAUUGAAUUAGAUUAGGUCAAGGACACUCUAGACUCAACUCCAAUAGUUGUAGUUGAAUGGGUCCAUGUCUUUAACUAGAUCAAGAUGGACUUAAUUC